GGAACUGGAGUGUGGAGACCAGGUGUUACCAAGAUGCCCUGCACAGGAGUAAAAGCUGUAAUUUGCCAGAGGUCACACACCUGGCCAGUGGUGGAGCCAAGGAGAACGGGCCCUUUGCCCAGGGUGAUGCUGCAUUGAGGCGGCUGCCUGAGCGUGGAGCACGGCCACAACAGCCAUUCUGGACAAAGCGCAGAGGAGCAGCUUCUUUGUUGGUCACAGACGGAGGAAGUCUGCAGAAAUGGGGGCUUUCUCCAUGGGACAUGAUUUCCUGCCAGCAUCCUGGACACAAAUCAAGAGAAGAAGGAUUUAAGUGCUCCACAAGAGAUGUACCAUUAAGCACAAAGCCAGUGUUGUACCGGGCCUCUGCCAAGAAGAAACAAAAGAGAUUUUCUGCAGCGUGUGCCCUUGGUCGCUCCCUGUCCAGCUCUGGGAAAGCCUCAGAUCUCCCUGGAAUAAAGAACUAAAGACCAGCCACUGACUGAGAGACAGACAUUCGAGGGACUGCUCCAGAAAGGCUGAGCUCCAGGCCAUCUCAGGAGGAGGCGGGGAGAAACACCAGGGUCUUGCUGCUAGUGACAGCACAAAGCAGCGGGGGAGGGAGGGGCGUUUCCGCUGUGCAAUCAAAAGCCCCCUUCCUAACCACAGACCUCUCCCUCAUCCCUAAAAUCCAUUUUGGGUACAAGCACCUACCCAACCACUGUAAAAAUAGCUACUCAUGAUGAUGUCGGGCAUCGUGCUAAGUGCUUUAUGUAUAUUCUCUCAUUUCACAAAACGGCACCUCUAUAGGUUCACUUCCACACAUGGGAAACCAAAACUUGGAGAAGGGAACUUGUCUAAGCUGAUACAGGUAAGAGGAAGGCUUCAAACACACCUCCAUCUGCCCCCAAAGUCUUCACCACUCAGAGGACUUUCCAGAAGUGGCGAUGGAUUUGUGAAGACCCUCCCACCCCUCCAUGCCCACUUCCCCUUGUCAGCCAGGACACACCAUUGUGCAGGGCAUUGCACAAGCCAUUGCACAGGGCAGGGGUGCGAUCUGUGACUGUGAUGAGAGGCUUACUGGCCCCAGAGAAUGGCAGCCACAGCCUUGGCUUUUCGGGCCAUUGCGCCAUCUUUGUGUGCUAGGGAUCCUGUGUUCCCAGAGGGUGGAGACCCUAUCUGUGCACUUUACUUAAUUAUUUUUGUAUACAAAACAUUUCAGUACUUCACUCAGUGCCAUAUACAAUUAGCGAAUUAAUACAUGCUUUUGGAGGGUGAUAAAGAUCUCACCAUACCAGUCAGUGAAAUAAACAAUGCCCCGCUUCUCUCAAGGAGAAACAAAGAGUCAAGCCACCCUGGGCACUCAGCACACUGUGUGGAGAACACGAGCAUGUGAGGCCCGCAGACCUAGCUUUGGAUCCUGGCUCAGCCACACACUAGCCAGGUGCCUGGGACAAACCAGCAGACCUCUGUGAGGCCAAGUUUCCCCAAACCUGGGGCAAGGGCACAACACCUACCUUUAGGUUAUUGUGAAGAUUAGGCGAGGAAAUUGCCACUGAGCUCCUAGCAACCUUGCCUGGCAGAGUGGGUGUUCAAUGUUAGUUUCUUGACUCAGUGCAUCUUCUUUCUUUCAAUGGAGCUCUCAUCACUAAAGAAUCUUGAUUCAUCUCUGCCUUGGGGACAUUCCCACCACCACAUGCUGCUGGUACCAUACAGGGCUGACCAGCAUGGUCCACCAUUCUCCUCAGUGGCACAGCUUUCUAACAAGAUGUAAUUCAAGUGGGGAAUAAGAAAGGGGAUUGAAAGCCAGAAGAACAUGCAAGUCAACCACAGGGUUGCUUCUGCACCUUGUGGCCCACUAUAGAGAGGCCUCUCUGUCCAGCCCCAUCUGUCUCCAAGGGGCACUCUCCAGCCUGUCUAGGGUCCUCUGGGUCAGGUCUGAAGAAAAAGAGGCCAAGGUACGAGAGCACUCUCUCCACCCAAGACCUACUUUCAGAGUUGCCACUUCCGAUCUGAAGAUAGGUCUUCCCCCAGAUGAUAACAGGAGCAAGCGCUCCUUUCAGAGGGGCCCCGCUCCUUACAUUCAGGAGUGUGGCCUCCCCAGGAUAACCGCAUCAGUUCCACGCAGUAAACCCUGCAUCCAUACAGGCAAUGCUCACCUCGAAUGCAGGGGAAGGAGAAGAGGAAGGGAAGUUGUUACAUGUGCUUUAUCUUUACGCUAUCUCAUUGGAUCCUCACAUUAGUCCUGUCCAGUGUUUUUUAGAUGGUCAUUCCUAAUCUUCAGAUAAAGGGAUUUUAGAUUGGAGAGGUUAAGUGAACUGACCAAGGUCACAGCUGACUAGAGCAAGCACUGGAGCUCAGUCAUCUUGUACUAAGCCCAGUUCUCUGGUCUCCCUGCCCUUGAGCCCAGGAUACCAGCCCCAGCAACUGAACCUUCCCUAGGAAGGAAGCUGGGGCUCUCCUACUGACCAGCACGAGAGACGGGGUUCCUGGAAGUGGUGAGUGAAAGGAGCACUGGAUGAAGCCACGGGUGUGAGGCAAGGGGAGCUGGCAGUUGUCCCUCCCUCUGCCAGGUUGUAGGUCAGGAGACCUGGGAUCAAGUGCAGGCUUCACCACUUGGAAGACUGUAUGGGUCUGAAAUCAUUACUCUCAGUGCCUCAGUUUCUGCAUCUGUCAAAUGGGAAGGAACAAAUGAACACUUUAUACACUUAAACACUUUUAUGAACACUUUUAAUACACUUAAAAUUCUUAGAAUGGUGCCUAGUACAUAGUAGUUAUUAAAUAAAUAUAGAUAUUUUAUGGACAUUGCUGUUGUUACUGUUAUUCCCUCGCAAAGUUUCGUGAGGAAUAAAUGAGAUGACAGACAUGAACACAUGAUAAGCUGCGAAGGUAAGGGAUGGGCAGUCUCACAUGCUGAGAAGGUAAUGAGAGAAAGACUUGGCCUCAGACCAUGUAUUUGAACAGUCUCAAAACCUUCAACAUGAAACACAGAACUACUCCAAAAAGCAGGCAUUUGCCUUCUGGUUUUUUCAUUGGUUCUAUUGCAAUUUUAGACUAGAUCUUUUACACUAUUUAUCUAGCUGUGUGCAUUUCAUUUAGUUAUCCUCCGUCACCAUGUACCAUGGGCAUUGUCCAAGAAGCAGGACCUGGUCUAAGUAGCCCCUGGAUGUCUUAGCUUGAGCAGAGAAUACAAUUAAGCUCUGUCUCUCUCUCUCUCUCUCUCUCUCUCUCUCAGGUAAUCCAGGUGCCAUCUUUCUUGACAGUCUGGAGGAACCAGGUGAGCAAGCUGCCCGGCGACAGGGAGUUGCUGCUAGCUGACUGACGGCCAAAGGCUCAGUCAUACCACCGCUCAAGGUCUGGUAGCAAGAGCUCCUUAGCCCACAUUUGGCCAGGUUUAGAACGCGUUUGACCAAUUAGCCAAACAAGAGUUUCUGAGUGUGGCUUUGUGCCCAGCACCAUGCUGGAAACAGUGGGUUGCGUAAGGGAAGUGUCUGUGCCUUGGGCUCUGCCCUUAUGGAGAUCAGUCUGGCCGAUGGAAUACGACCAAUGAAACCAAAGCAAUGAGAGAAUUGUGAAAGACAGCAAUACAAUGAAGGGUUAGAUUUUAUGGCACAGAAUGUAAAUGUUAGAGUAUAGGGUAAAAGGAGAUGGAUGAAGGCUGGAGGGGGCAGGAAAAGGCUCAUGAAGGAGGAGGUUUGUUAGCUGGGCCUUGACAGGGGUGUAGGAGUUGCAUUGGUGGAAGGGAGAGUGGCAUUCCAAGCCAGGGAAGCUAUCUGAGAGAAAUCUAGGCGUAGAAAAGAACAAGGACUGUUUACAUGGCAGAGGCAAAACUGGCAUGACUGGAGUAGAGGGAGAGCAUCCUAAUUCCUAAACCUAUUGCCUACUUUGCAAGAACCAGGAAAAGGAAUUCCUAUGGCUCAUAAAACUGGUUGACGGUGAUCUAGUCUGUCCUAUUUCGCCUCCCACAUUUAUAGCUCUACGUGAACUUUGGCAAGUCACAUAACCCCUUUGAAACUCACUUUCCUCCCCUGUAAAAUGGUGGUGAUAAUACGCGUCUAAUCGAGUCACUUCGAGAAGUAAAAGGGAUGAUCUGUGGAGGCUCGCAGGGGCCAAUGCUAAUAGACAGGUAGUGAUGGCAAUUCUCCCCUCAUCCCAGCGAGCAGCUCCCAGCUCGGGUUCACACCGAGGAGGAAUGCCCUUCAUGCUCUUCAAGGAGCUCCUGCCCAUCUCUCCUUCCAAAGAACAUUGGAAGUUGCUUCAUCUCUCCACCCCGUCAAUGAGUUUUGGUCAGAGGGUAAAGACAGUGUUCCUUUUGGAACUCAUCCUGCCCUGCCAAGGAGGGAGAACCAGACGCUCUGUGUCUCUUGCUGAUGACACUGCUCCACGGUGGGUGCAUAAGGACAUCGCUGGGACCCUCCUACCCAGAAAGCACGGCUGUACCCGGAUCUUGUGGGGUCGCAAUAGAUACCUGCCAGCUUGAUGAGGGCCCUUCAGAGCUAGGGUUUCUGAACGGAGCCAGCUGUCCCAUGGGGAAGGGGAGUACCCUCCCCCUCUCUUGCCUCUCUCUUCUUUCUCCUCCUUGAGAGGACAGGAAGGUGGGAAUGGCCUUGGGAAAACUCGGAAGCGCUGACUGGCCCAAGGGAACAAAGGUGACCUGGAAAGGAGUUGCCCCAGAUUGGGAGCACCUGUGAAAGGCCGAGCCUGAGACAGAAAUGAGCGCUCUGUCGUCUGCGCAGCCUCGCGGUAGGGACCGAGUUGGUGAGGAGAAGCCGCAGGAGAGAGUUGCUAGGGUUGGAAACAAACAACCGAUGAAAAUGCCUGGAGAGGAAGGAGCAUCUGAUCGACCAGCCCGAGGGACGGGCCCGCACCCCUGACAGUUCUCCUCGGCCUGGUUUCAGGCCACUGAGUCCAAGUUUCUGCCACAGACCCAGGGCUGAAGCUCUUUCCAAAGAGAUUGGUAAUUGCUUUCCACCUGCGCCUUGCCCAACAUCCACUGCUGAGCGCACCUUCCCUCUCCUCCCGUCGCGCCGGGCCCCAGAAAUAAUCACUGAGCAGGGAGUUAUCAGUCCAGGGAGGUUGGGUCCGGGCCAGGAAGCCUGGGCACCCGGCGCGCGUGCGUGCGGCGGGCGUUGGGGGGGGGCGGUGGGGGAGGGACGCUGCA
rnacentral:lncRNA from 1 species